CUGCCCUCAAGCACGGCUUGUGUGUUGGGUGCGGUCCCCCCGGGGACCUGCCCGAAAGGCAGCGGCGACGUCCGUCUGGUCCUCGAGCGUAUGGGGCUUUGUCACUCGCUCGGGAAGGACCUGCGGAGGUUGGUCACCACCAUAUUUUACCACGG
rnacentral:misc_RNA from 1 species